rnacentral:rRNA from 1 species
CCCCUUCGGGGGGCACUCGAGUGGCGCACGGGUGAGUAACGCGUGGGUAAUCUGCCUUCGGGUCUGGGACAACCUCGGGAAACUGGGGCUAAUACCGGAUAAGACCACGAGCUCCUCGGAGCUUGCGGAAAAAGGUGGCCUCUCCUUGGAAGCUACCGCCUGUCGAUGAGCCCGCGUCCCAUUAGCUUGUUGGUGAGGUAACGGCUCACCAAGGCUUCGAUGGGUAGCUGGUCUGAGAGGAUGAUCAGCCACACUGGAACUGAGACACGGUCCAGACUCCUACGGGAGGCAGCAGUCGGGAAUUUUGGGCAAUGGGCGAAAGCCUGACCCAGCAACGCCGCGUGAGGGAUGAAGGCCUUCGGGUCGUAAACCUCUGUCGGGAGGGAAGAACGGUUGCCAGUCGAACAGGCUGGAAGCCUGACGGUACCUCCAAAGGAAGCACCGGCUAACUCCGUGCCAGCAGCCGCGGUAAUACGGAGGGUGCAAGCGUUGUUCGGAAUCAUUGGGCGUAAAGCGCGCGUAGGCGGCUUGGCAAGUCGGUUGUGAAAUCCCGGGGCCCAACCCCGGAACUGCAGCCGAAACUGCCUCGCUAGAGUCCCGGAGAGGAAGGCAGAAUUCCCGGUGUAGGGGUGAAAUCCGUAGAUAUCGGGAGGAAUACCAGCGGCGAAGGCGGCCUUCUGGACGGUGACUGACGCUGAGACGCGAAAGCGU